GCCCAUACAAUAUUUGAGGUGCUUUUGUUUAGAGAGAACUACAAAUUACCCACUUGAGAUAAUGUUCGACUUCACUAACUCACCUGUGAUUUGAAAAAUAGUAUUUAACCCAUUUGAGGUUUAUCUAUCAACUUCUAUCACACUCUGUUACCCACCUCUACAAUAAAAUAGGAAAUAGGCUUUAUUUAUGUGCGAUUUUGGACCUCCUUUCAUCCCC
rnacentral:lncRNA from 1 species